rnacentral:rRNA from 1 species
CCUUUUUUUGCCCUAUGGUGCAUUCUGGGGUCCCCGCCUGGGGGAAGAGGGGGUUUCCCCUUUAAAGUUAAAAAUUUGGCCGGGGAACACCCCCCCCCCGACCCUUGGUUUUUUAAACCCCCCCCUUUCGGGAAGGGUUCCCGGAAAAUUAAUUUGGCCCCCCCCCCGGGGGGCCCCCGGGGGGGAAUUUUCCCCCCCCCCCCGAAAAAAUUUUUUUUUUUUGGGGGGGGGGGGAGAGGGCCCCCCCCCGCGAGUUCCCGGCCUUAAAAGGCUUGGGGGCAAAUUAUUUUAAAAAUUGAUGGUUACGGGGGUUUUCCAAAAUCCCCCCCAAGGUCAAUGCUGAGUAAAAAGUGUACAAGGUUUCCGUAGGUGAACUGCGGAAGGAUCAUUG